rnacentral:rRNA from 1 species
AGUGAACGCUGGCGGUAGGCCUAACACAUGCAAGUCGAACGGCAGCACAGUAAGAGCUUGCUCUUACGGGUGGCGAGUGGCGGACGGGUGAGGAAUACAUCGGAAUCUACUUUUUCGUGGGGGAUAACGUAGGGAAACUUGCGCUAAUACCGCAUACGACCUACGGGUGAAAGCAGGGGAUCUUCGGACCUUGCGCGAUUGAAUGAGCCGAUGUCGGAUUAGCUAGUUGGCGGGGUAAAGGCCCACCAAGGCGACGAUCCGUAGCUGGUCUGAGAGGAUGAUCAGCCACACUGGAACUGAGACACGGUCCAGACUCCUACGGGAGGCAGCAGUGGGGAAUAUUGGACAAUGGGCGCAAGCCUGAUCCAGCCAUACCGCGUGGGUGAAGAAGGCCUUCGGGUUGUAAAGCCCUUUUGUUGGGAAAGAAAAGCAGCAGGUUAAUACCCCGCUGUUCUGACGGUACCCAAAGAAUAAGCACCGGCGAACUUCGU